CCUACGUGAGGCAGCAGUGGGGAAUAUUGCCCAAUGGGGGAAACCCUGAUGCAGCGACGCCGCGUGAGUGAAGAAGUAAUUCGUUAUGUAAAGCUCUAUCAGCAUGGAAGAAAAUGACGGUACCUGAGUAAGAAUCCCCGGCUAACUACGUACCAGCAGCCGCGGUAAUACGUAGGGGGCAAGCGUUAUCCGGAUUUACUGGGUGUAAAGGGAGCGUAGACGGCCGUGCAAGUCUGGAGUGAAAGGCGGGGGCUCAACCCCCGGACUGCUCUGGAAACUGUACGGCGGGAGUGCAGGAGAGGUAAGUGGAAUUUCUAGUGUAGCGGUGAAAUGCGUAGAUAUUAGGAGGAACACCAGUGGCGAAGGCGGCUUACUGGACUGUAACUGACGUUGAGGCUCGAAAGCGUGGGGAGCAAACAGGAUUAGAUACCCGAGUAGUC
rnacentral:rRNA from 1 species